rnacentral:rRNA from 1 species
CAAUAGCGUAUAUUAAAGUUGUUGCGGUUAAAAAGCUCGUAGUUGGAUUUCUGCUGAGGACGACCGGUCCGCCCUCUGGGUGAGCAUCUGGUUCGGCCUUGGCAUCUUCUUGGGGAACGUAGCUGCACUUGACUGUGUGGUGCGGUAUCCAGGACUUUUACUUUGAGGAAAUUAGAGUGUUUCAAGCAGGCGCACGCCUUGAAUACAUUAGCAUGGAAUAAUAAGAUAGGACCUCGGUUCUAUUUUGUUGGUCUCUAGAGCUGAGGUAAUGAUUAAUAGGGAUAGUUGGGGGCAUUCGUAUUUAACUGUCAGAGGUGAAAUUCUUGGAUUUGUUAAAGACGGACUGCUGCGAAAGCAUUUGCCAAGGAUGUUUUCAUUGA